UACGUAGGGUGCGAGCGUUAAUCGGAAUUACUGGGCGUAAAGCGUGCGCAGGCGGUUUUGUAAGCCAGAUGUGAAAGCCCCGGGCUUAACCUGGGAAUGGCAUUUGGGACUGCAAGGCUUGAGUGCGGCAGAGGAGACUGGAAUUCCUGGUGUAGCAGUGAAAUGCGUAGAUAUCAGGAGGAAUACCGGUGGCGAAGGCGGCAUCCUGGACCGAGAUUGACACUGAGGAGCGAAAGCCAGGGGAGCAAACGGG
rnacentral:rRNA from 1 species